UCCUUUCAAGUAAUAGUCUCUGGAAGAAAAGGGGCCUUCAAAAUGACUACAGUUGCUGGCACCAACUUUAUGUGGUCUGUCCCAAAGUAGUUUUUAAGAUUAGUGACCACUAUGAGGUAAGGAACAAAAGAAGCCAAGCCUUCCUUGGUUUAGGAGAUUUUUAUAAUACAUAUGUGAUACUUUUUUCAGAGUUUGUGAAUGUUACAAAGGAACUGUGGUUAUCAGAGCCCCAGGCAUCUGGAACACUGUAGACAAAACCAUUCUCUUAGGAUAAAAUUGACCCUGAUAUGUAUGACAGAUACAACCUUCAGUUUAUAGAGCAAGAGUAUGUAAAGAGUCUUAUUUUCUGAGCGGUCUCCUCACUGGAUCAACUUCAAAUAAUUUGUGGUACUCUUUUCUGUUUUUGGAGGGAAGACAUUCAUCCUUGUAUACAUCUGCUGGCAUGCAUGGCCUUUAGAUUUUGACAUGAGUGGUCACGGCAUAUUUGAAGAAGACUUGUUCUCUAAUAUUCUUAACUAAAGAUGGCCUCUUUUGUAAGUUAGAGAGCUUCCUUGAAUUUUUUUUGAGAGCUCUUAAUUGUGGGAAAUAUACUAAGAAAACUUGGGACACAGAUAUGCAUGUAAUUGCAUGUCGGGUAUAAGUCAUAUGCAAUGCCAAAGGAAGAGAGAAUUUGGUCACUGAAUUUUCUGAAAUGUCAGUGUGGAUCCUACCCAGUAGUGUUGCAACGAGGCUAAAAGUCGUAUUAGCUGCCUUUAGGACAGAAACAAACCACUCCUUUUGUGGACCAAACCACAAGGUAAAAUAACCUUGUUUAAAGAAAAAAAGUAAGAGUGUAUUGCAGAGGCCUUGGCUAGGUUUAUGAUGACACAGGACCUUGUCUGAACAUGAUGAUUUCAAAAUUUGAGCUUAAAAGGACACUCUGAAAUCCAGUCAAUGUGCCUCAAUAGACUUUUCAGAGGACAUUAUUCUUGGCAGAAAAGAUUGGCUUGACAUGUGAAAACUGAAUAGCUAGAAAUGGCAGGUGUAGUCAUACACUUUGCCAGUUCUUCAAACAUCCCUUUUUUUCUUUUCAUAGAUUUUUCUGAGCUAAUUAUUUUCUUUUUUCUUUUUUUAUAUAUACAUAUAUAUACAUAUAUGUGUGUGUAUAUAUGUGUGUGUGUGUGUGCCCACACACACUGUUCAAAGCAAAAAUGGGAGCUCACCCUUGGAUCUCAGAAGGCACACAGGUGGCGAGAUGGAAACAAAGACAUAUAAAAAGGAAGCUGCCACCUCUUGGAUCAAACAUUGAAUGACAGAGUUCUAGGUGUCUAAGUGAUGUCCAGAAAGAAUAUUUAUGGAACACAUAUGAAAUGCAAUGAGUGUGGUGAACAUGAUGAAAGAAAGACAUAACAUGCAGAUAACCUGAGGAUGCCUGACAUCAUCAGGAACAUUCUUCCUGUGAAGUUCCUUAAUUUGUAAAUCUCAACUGUAAACCACAGGGAGAUGAUAGUUCCAAGAAAAGACACUUUUGCCAUCUUUGUUUUUAAUAUCAAUAAUUGGUACCAUGAGACCUGUUGGCAGUAUUCCUCUUUUCAAGUGUUCAUCACUCCCAUCCAUCCCUGGGCCCAGGAGAACCCCUUGGCGAUAAUGAUUGUGUGAUGACUGAAUAGGAAAAACUGAUGCCAUUGCUUCUGCCACCAUCUUCAGUAAAACCAAAGACAGUCUUCAUAAUGUAUAGAGAUUCCUCAUUGAUGUGUUGCAAUGGACACUCCCUGUAGAUCGCAAAAACAGGCUGAGAAGGCUGAAGUUUCAAAGUGACCUAAAGGGUGAUAGUGGAGAGAACUGUAACCAGGCAUGUUGACUGUUUUCAUUGUUGCCAUUGGACUAAAUCUCAGGAGCUUGAAUGAUGGAGGCAUUAUUACACAGAGAAGCUGAGGAUGGUAUAAUUUCAAGGCUUCAUUAGAGUGCUCCCAUAAGUAUUAGGUGCACAUUUUUAAAAUUUUCAUUUAUCACAGGGAAAUUUAAAAUUGACUCAUAAAAAAUCAUCUUUUUCAAGAUUUCAAAGGACAUGGAAAUUUGUGAAGUAUAAUAUUUUACUUAAAUGCCUUUUUUCCUCUUCUAAUUCUGCUACCUCUGUCUGUGUUAUCUACUAUUAAUGAAAUUUUGUGCACAUCCUUUUGGGUGUAUUGAUAAAUUAAUAUGCAAGUUAUUUUGGGGGGAGGUCUAUAUACUAGCUACAAAUUUUCUACACAGUAAACAUGGUUUAUAUAUAAAUUGUAAAUUUAUCCAACUAAUUUGUUGAAAUAAUUCCAGUGAAUUGGAACUGCUAGGACUAGGGUAUCCAAAAUUUAUAGUUUUGAGUCCAAACUGGUUUUCCCUACUAUACAGACAAGACCUCAUCAAUCUUGUUUCCCCAGUGUUUAUGUGGGUAUAUUUCCUAAAACUGUACAAAUGUUACAUUUUUAACCUUUGGUAAUAUGGUAUUACAAAGAAAUUGCUUUUCUUCUGUUACUGUUAAGCUCUGUCAUCUUCAUAUAUGCUUAAUCCUUACUAGUCAUUUGUGUUAUUUCAUUUUCUUCUGUUUUUUUUUUUCCAUUCCGUUGAUAUAUCAAUGUCUUUGUUACUGGUUUCUAAGAACUCAUUUAUUAUUCAGGAUGUUAACCAUUUGUCAUGCAGUGCAAAUGAAGUACCAUAUUUUAUUGCUAUCAAUUUACUAUGGUGUUUUGUAUUUUGGUUGUGUAUUAAAAUAUAAUCAUGUGCUUU